CUGCUGCCUCCCGUAGGAGUCUGGUCCGUGUCUCAGUACCAGUGUGGGGGACCUUCCUCUCAGAACCCCUACGCAUCGUCGGUUAGGUGGGCCGUUACCCCGCCUACUGCCUAAUGCGCCGCAUGCCCAUCCCUGUCCGGCCGAAGCCUUUCCUGCCUCCGGGAUGCCCCGGUGGCAUGUACGCGGGUUUAGCCCGCCUUUCGGCGGGCUGUCCCCCUGACAGGGGCAGGUUGCAUACGUGUUACUCACCCGUGCGCCGGUCGCCGGCGGAAG
rnacentral:rRNA from 1 species